AUUGAACGCUGGCGGCAAGCCUAACACAUGCAAGUCGAACGAGUGGCGGACGGGUGAGUAAUGUCUGGGAAACUGCCUGAUGGCGGGGGAUAACUACUGGAAACGGUAGCUAAUACCGCAUACCAUCGGAUGUGCCCAGAUGGGAUUAGCUAGUGGGUGGGGUAAAGGCUCACCUAGGCGACGAUCCCUAGCUGGUCUGAGAGGAUGACCAGCAACACUGGGACUGAGACACGGUCCAGACUCCUACGGGAGGCAGCAGUGGGGAAGAGGGCACAAUGGGCGAAAGCCUGAUGCAGCCAUGCCGCGUGUAUGAAGAAGGCCUUCGGGUUGUAAAGUACUUUCAGCGGGGAGGCGUUACCCGAAGAAGAAGCACCGGCUAACUACGUGCCAGCAGCCGCGGUAAUAC
rnacentral:rRNA from 1 species